rnacentral:lncRNA from 1 species
UUAAUAAUUAAAAACUAAUUUUUCUAAUUUUUAAAUUAAUUUCCGGAAAAUCAGAAAUUAAAAUAAUUAAAACUGUUGCUAAAGGCCCCUAUAGUGACAGAACCGUCGUUAUAGGUGUUCUUGAGCCUACCCAGAUCUUCAUAAGGCAGAACCGAGUGGGCUACUUUGACCGUGAAUAACUCUCUCAUCUUAACGAAAUUGGACAAUCUAUAAAUUGGGUCUUGUAGAGGAAAUACAAGACUACAAGAUCCAACAAACAUAACCUCUAAAAAACAUCAGAUCUGGGAGAAAACGAACCUCAAAGUAGCUGCCAAAGCUGUUCUUCACGAAAAACAGCUUCGAGGUGCCUACAUUGGACCUCUAUAACUUGGUGAUCGUGUAACAUUUUUGUGCUCUAUCACUUCUAG